AAACAAGCUACGCAACGAGGAAACAGAUGUAACCAUUCAGGGAACGAUUCAUUUGCUCUGCCAUUUCUUGUUUCUAGGCCUGAUGCUCUAUAUACUACUGAUACUUGUCAAUUUAUGGACUUUACACUUCACUGGCCUCUCUAACUCCGAUCUGCCAACUACGUGGCAAGUAUGGCAGUCUGUUGGAAAAAGUUUUAGUAUAUACCAACUUUUCGGUCUUAUCUACGUUCUCAAUGCUUUUUUUGAAACUACCCGCGAAAAUCUGUACUUGACAGGCCUACAAUUCGUAAGAAGAUUAAUCAUGUUUUUGGUCGUCUCAUUUAGCACAAAAGUACAUCAUUCGAUCUAUUUUAGUUUGAUGCUCUUUCUUUGGACCUUCUCAGAUGCCAUUCACCAUCUUCAACAAACUAUUAUUUCUCCGCUCGUCGUGGGAAGGGCAUCAAAGACUGUUGCUUGCAUUUCCAAAUUCGCAAAACUUUGGAUUUUCCCAAUAGAAGUCUUCUUAGAAACUGUCAGCUUUCUCUAUCUGCUCUUUGAAACUAAUGUCUAUUCCAGCAACUAUGUCAUGUUCUUCAGAGUGCUCUUUGCGGUCCAUUUGUGUUCAUCUGUCUUCGUCUACAUCAAAAGACAAAAGCUGCUUAAAACAAAUAAGAACGUUUAUUAAAAAAAUUAAAACUAGCUUUUUUUACACAUUCUUUUUCUCAUGUAAAAUCAGUUUUUUACAAAGAAUUAGUUUCGGUCCUUUUUAUCUACAACAACAUUGAUUACUAUUUCGAACAAAACUACAAAAAUUUAGACUAGAUGGUCAAAUAACAGCGCAAGGAUUUAAUAGGCUUUUUUUAUUUUGAGAUGCGUACUGUUAGAGAAAUAUAGAAACUUGUUGUCAGCGUGAAAGUGAAGAUAUGACAAAUAAGAAAAAAUAAAACGUUAAUGUAAUAAAUAUGCAGAUAAGUAAUAAA